GGUGAACGCUGGCGGCGUGCUUAACACAUGCAAGUCGAGCGGGUAUCCGCAAGGAUACCAGCGGCGCACGGGUGAGUAAUACGUAGGUAACCUGCCCUUCAGAGGGGAAUAACUGGGGGAAACUCCAGCUAAUGCCCCAUACGAUCCAACAAUGGCGGUUGUUGGAUGAAAGGAGCGUUUGCUUCGCUGAGGGAGGGGCCUGCGUCCCAUCAGGUAGUUGGUGAGGUAACGGCCCACCAAGCCUACGACGGGUAGCCGACCUGAGAGGGUGGCCGGCCACAAGGGCACUGAGACACGGGCCCUACUCCUACGGGAGGCAGCAGUGGGGAAUUUUGGACAAUGGGCGAAAGCCUGAUCCAGCGACGCCGCGUGGGGGACGAAGCCCUUCGGGGUGUAAACCCCUGCUGUGAGGGACGAAUAAGGUUCGGAGGAAAUGCCGAGCCGAUGACGGUACCUCACGAGAAAGCCCCGGCUAACUACGUGCCAGCAGCCGCGGUAAUACGUAGGGGGCGAGCGUUACCCGGAUUCACUGGGCGUAAAGGGGGCGUAGGCGACUCAGUGUGUCGGGUGUGAAAUCCCACGGCUCAACCGUGGAAUUGCGCCCGAAACUACUGGGUUUGGGGCUGGUAGAGGGAGAUGGAACUGCUGGUGUAGGGGUGAAAUCCGUAGAUAUCAGCAGGAACGCCGGUGGGGAAGCCGGUCUCCUGGGCCAUGCCCGACGCUGAGGCCCGAAAGCUAGGGGAGCAAACCGGAUUAGAUACCCGGGUAGUCCUAGCCGUAAACGAUGCUCACUAGGUGUGGGGGAGUCAUUCCUCCGCGCUGCAGUUAACGCGUUAAGUGAGCCGCCUGGGGAGUACGCCCGCAAGGUGAAACUCAAAGGAAUUGGCGGGACCCCGCACAAGCGGUGGAGCGUGUGGUUUAAUUGGAUGCUAAGCCAAGAACCUUACCAGGGCUUGACAUGCGGGUAGUACUAACCCGAAAGGGAAGGGACCCUUUCUUUUUGGAAAGGGAGCUCGCACAGGUGGUGCACGGCCGUCGUCAGCUCGUGCCGUGAGGUGUUGGGUUAAGUCCCGCAACGAGCGCAACCCCUGCCCUUAGUUGCCAGCGGUUCGGCCGGGCACUCUAAGGGGACUGCCGGCGACGAGCCGGAGGAAGGAGGGGACGACGUCAGGUACUCGUGCCCUUUAUGCCCUGGGCUACACACGCGCUACAAUGGGUGGUACAAUGGGUUGCUACUUCGCGAGGAGAAGCUAAUCCCAAAAACCACCCCCAGUUCAGAUCGCAGGCUGCAACCCGCCUGCGUGAAGCCGGAAUCGCUAGUAAUCGCGGAUCAGCCACGCCGCGGUGAAUACGUUCCCGGGGUUUGCACACACCGCCCGUCAAGCCACCCGAGUCGGGGGCACCUGAAGACGCUUAUCCUAACCCGAAAGGGAGGGAAGGCGUUGAAGGUGAAUCUGGUGAGGGGGGC
rnacentral:rRNA from 1 species